rnacentral:rRNA from 1 species
UACAGAGGGUGCGAGCGUUGCUCGGAAUCACUGGGCGUAAAGGGUGCGUAGGCGGGUCUUUAAGUCAGGGGUGAAAUCCUGGAGCUCAACUCCAGAACUGCCUUUGAUACUGAGGAUCUUGAGUACGGGAGAGGUGAGUGGAACUGCGAGUGUAGAGGUGAAAUUCGUAGAUAUUCGCAAGAACACCAGUGGCGAAGGCGGCUCACUGGCCCGUAACUGACGCUGAGGCACGAAAGCGUGGGGAGCAAACAGG